UAGUCCACGCCGUAAACGAUGGUUACUAGCUGUUCGGACUUCGGUCUGAGUGGCUAAGCGAAAGUGAUAAGUAACCCACCUGGGGAGUACGUUCGCAAGAAUGAAACUCAAAGGAAUUGACGGGGGCCCGCACAAGCGGUGGAGCAUGUGGUUUAAUUCGAUGAUACGCGAGGAACCUUACCAGGGCUUAAAUGUAGUCUGACAGCUUUAGAGAUAGAGUUUUCUUCGGACAGAUUACAAGGUGCUGCAUGGUUGUCGUCAGCUCGUGCCGUGAGGUGUCAGGUUAAGUCCUAUAACGAGCGCAACCCCUGUUGUUAGUUGCCAGCGGGUAAUGUCGGGAACUCUAGCAAAACUGCCGGUGCAAACCGCGAGGAAGGUGGGGAUGACGUCAAAUCAUCACGGCCCUUACGUCCUGGGCCACACACGUGCUACAAUGGACGGUACAGAGGGCCGCAAUCCCGCGAGGGGGAGCCAAUCCCACAAAGCCGUUCUUAGUCCGGAUCGCAGUCUGCAA
rnacentral:rRNA from 1 species